UACGUAGGGCGCAAGCGUUGUCCGGAAUUAUUGGGCGUAAAGAGCUCGUAGGCGGUUUGUCGCGUCUGCUGUGAAAACCUAAGGCUCAACCUUGGGCUUGCAGUGGGUACGGGCAGACUAGAGUGCGGUAGGGGUGACUGGAAUUCCUGGUGUAGCGGUGGAAUGCGCAGAUAUCAGGAGGAACACCGAUGGCGAAGGCAGAUCUCUGGGCCGUAACUGACGCUGAGGAAGCGGAAAGCAUGGGGAGCGAACAGG
rnacentral:rRNA from 1 species